AGGACACAGUGAUAACAGGGUUAUUUAGACACCCACAAGAGGAUGUGGAGCUGCCCCGACUCUGCUGGAGACUCAAACUGACACUGACGAACGGACACUCACCGCUCGCUCCGCUGUCUGUUCGCCAUCCAGUUUCACGCCGAUCGUCAAGAAUGUCUGACAACGAGGAAGUGGUGGAGGAGUACGAAGAGGAGGCGGAGGGUAAGACUUGUUGCCAGAUCCAGGUUUGCCGAGUGAGCACGUUCACAGACACAAGAAACCCAGAUGGUGUCACAUCCACGAGUGAAGACAAUAGAAGCGCAGCAGUCCUGACACCAAAACCAUUGCCACUGAGACCAAAACAACCUGCAGAUGUUUCAUCUGCGCUAGAGGGCGUUGUUUGGCUGGACAAGAGAGAAGCUGCCGCUCUGAGUGGGUCGCAGUGUCAGGACAGUACAUCAGCACACGCGCCUGGCGCGGCGCGUUUGCGUGGGUCUGCAGUGGAAACUGAGUCCCAUUGUUCUCUGCAUGUUGAUACUGACGCUCUGCCACGCUGAGCUCGACUCAAGAAUGUCGGAAGUGGUGCCAACAUUGUUUGAUCGUAUCUCUCAGAUCCCCUCCGGCAUGUCAUUUGCAGCUUCGGUGGCAUGAAACUAACCCUGACUGACUUUCCCACGGUUUGACUUGAUGUGAGUGUGUUCAUGAGCUGUGUGUUCAAACUGGCCCUGUGCUCCUGUGUCCAGAGGAGGUAGGAGAGGAGGAGCAGGAGGAGCAGGAGGAGGUGGAGCAAGAGCAGCAGGAAGGUACUUCCUCCACCAGA